UUCCCUACCAUGAAUUUUGAUUAAAUAGGCCAUCAAUUAACCGGACUGGCCGCUUAUUUGGGACAACUGUUAAAAGAACAAAGCUAAUCGAGAAAACAGCCAGGAUUCCUUUCAGUUAUUUAGGACACUAUACUGCACUCCAUUUAAUUGGGGCAGAAGACUGUUGCUAACAGUUUCUAACUAGCUGGCUGAUCCAUUUCCCUCUCAACCCCAUUCUCCUGUCUUCUCCCGGUAACCUUAGACAUCCUGACUAAUCAGGAACCUAUCAACCUCCGCUUUAAACAUUACCAAUGACUUGUCCUCCACAGCCGUCUGCGUCUAUGAAUUUCCCAGAUUCACCCCUAAUGCUGUCAAUAUAGCCCCAAAAUACCCCUACCCCCAAAAAAUUGCAAAAAAAAAGUUUUAUGGUCAUUACUUGUACUUUCAGACAUACUGAACAAAAUAUGGAAAGUUGGACAGAAGCAGAGCAGGGUUUUUUGAAACCUAUAAGUCUCAAUAUUGCUGUAUUAUGUCUUUGAGAACGACUAAAGCCUCUGCAAAAGAAAAAGAAGAUGAUUCCCCAACCACUUUGGAAUCAAUUGGAGAAGCAAAGAACAGAACUCUCUGAGAAUUUCAACAUCUUAACGUCAAGUUGGACACUAUUCAACAAACUCUAAUCGAACACAAUAAGCGAAUUAAGGAGAAUAAAGAAACUUUGUCGAUACUGGAAGCGGACUUAGAAGACGUGAGUAAGCUUUGCAAAAAGUUAUCGUUACUAAUGAAAAAGUAACAAAGAAGAUUACCAACCUGGAAAGCAGAAGCAGAAGGAGCAAUCUACGUAUUCUGGGCCUUGAAGAAUCAAUUGAGGGUGCCCACCCCAUGGAGUUCUUUGCAAACUUUCUGAAGCAGCUUUUCCCUGAUUUACUGCCGUGUGCCUAAAUUGGACCGCGCCCACCGGUCACUGGCCCCGAAACCAAAGUCGAGGGAGAACGACCCAGAUAUAUCUCCUUAUUGUGACAGAUGUAAUAAUGGAGAGGCUUCAUUAAUUCAUAUGUUUUGGUCAUGUUCGAGCCUUGAAAAAUAUUGGGAAGAUGUAUUCCAAACUUUUUAAAGUUAAUUUUAAGCCCAAUCCUUUGACUGCCUUAUUUGGUAUUGUUGAGAAAAGAGCUAUAAUUUUGGAGCCUUCUCAUUUGCGGGUACUGGCUUUUAUUUCUCUUACGGCUCAAAGGGCAAUCUUGCUUAAAUGGAAGGAGGCUGCCCCCCCCCCCAACACACACACUGCUCAAUGGUUAUGCGAUGUUAUGUCAUGUUUAAAUUUAGAGAAGAUUCGUUGUUUGAUUUCUGAUUCUAAUCAAGAUGUUCAAUCAUUAUGGGGACCCUUUCUGAACUGUUUUGAAAAUCUUUGAAUUGUUAUUGUUAUUAAAAUAUAGAUCUGGGCA